GGGAUAGCUUGCAUUCAGAUGGCGACCGGCGCACGGGUGAGUAACGCGUAUCCAACCUUCCUGCCAGUAGGGAACAGCCCGGCGAAAGUCGGAUUAAUGCCCUAUGUUCUUCAAUGCGGACAUCUAAGUUGAAGGAAAGAUUCAUCGCUGGCAGAUGGGGAUGCGUCCGAUUAGCUUGCCGGCGGGUAACGGCCCACCGGGGCGAUGAUCGGUAGGGGUUCUGAGAGGAAGGUCCCCCACACUGGUACUGAGACACGGACCAGACUCCUACGGGAGGCAGCAGUGAGGAAUAUUGGUCAAUGGGCGUAAGCCUGAACCAGCCAAGUAGCGUGCAGGGAAUGACGGCCCUACGGGUUGUAAACUGCUUUUUAUGCGGGGAUAAAGUGCGGCACGUGUGCCGCUUUGCAGGUACCGCAUGAAUAAGGACCGGCUAAUUCCGUGCCAGCAGCAGC
rnacentral:rRNA from 1 species